UCAGAUUAUCCAGUCAUUGAGCCACUAGAGAUUAAAAAACUCCCUGGUAGACCUAAAAAGUAUAGAAGAAGGGAUAAGAAUUAACCAAAGAGGGAAAAUUUUGGAAAGUUAUCUAGGUUUUGUGUACAAAUUAUAUGUUCAAUUUGCAAUGAUACAAGACAUAACAAAAAACAUGCUCAAUAAGAUAGCAACAACCAAACUACGAGG
rnacentral:lncRNA from 1 species